rnacentral:rRNA from 1 species
ACACGACUACAUUAGAUACCCGGGUAGUCCCAGCCCUAAACGAUGCGCGUUAGGUGUAUCGGUGACCACGAGUCACCGAGGUGCCGCAGGGAAGCCGUGAAGCGAGCCACCUGGGAAGUACGGUCGCAAGGCUGAAACUUAAAGGAAUUGGGCGGGGGAGCACUACAACGGGUGGAGCCUGCGGUUUAAUUGGACUCAACGACCGGAAACUCACCGGGGGCGACAGCAAUAUGUAGGUCAAGCUAAAGACUUUACCAGAAUCGCUG